GAUGAACGCUGGCGGCGUGCCUAAUACAUGCAAGUCGAGCGAACAGACGAGGAGCUUGCUCCUCUGACGUUAGCGGCGGACGGGUGAGUAACACGUGGAUAACCUACCUAUAAGACUGGGAUAACUUCGGGAAACCGGAGCUAAUACCGGAUAAUAUAUUGAACCGCAUGGUUCAAUAGUGAAAGACGGUUUUGCUGUCACUUAUAGAUGGAUCCGCGCCGCAUUAGCUAGUUGGUAAGGUAACGGCUUACCAAGGCAACGAUGCGUAGCCGACCUGAUAGGGGGAUCGGCCACACUGGAAGUGAGACACGGUCCAGACUCCUACGGGAGGCAGCAGUAGGGAAUCGUCCGCAAUGGGCGAAAGCCUGACGGAGCAACGCCGCGUGAGUGAUGAAGGUCUUCGGAGCGUAAAACUCUGUUAUUAGGGAAGAACAAAUGUGUAAGUAACUAUGCACGUCUUGACGGUACCUAAUCAGAAAGCCACGGCUAACUACGUG
rnacentral:rRNA from 1 species